GAGGGUAUAGCUCAGUGGUAGAGCACAUGCCUAGAAUGCAUGAGGUCCUGGGUUCAAUCCCCAGUACCUCUG
rnacentral:tRNA from 1 species